CUGGAGACUAACUGCUCCAAUAGAUAAAACACUCUCAUUCUGAGUGGAGAGUGAGGUCUAGCAUGCCUUGGGGGGCUCUCUGUGCUAAGUAGAUCAUGGAUUCAUAGCUGUUGCCCAACUCGGAGGCAAAUCAGAAUGAGCACAGCCUGGGGACCCUUUCAGUCUAGCUUGGAAAUCCCUGUUCUUUCUGUAGCAUAGGUUUGUGCUGCCACAAGCUGAACCUUCAAAAUAAAACCUAAGGGGGCUGGUGAUGACUCAUUAAAUAAAUUGGUAUUGCUGCCGUCCUGUCCCAUUCACCCGAUGCAAAGGACUUGGUAAUGGGCUAAUAACACACCCGGCAGAGGAGUGCAACCCAGGAGCUAAACCGUGGUUUUGGUCACAGUCGUCUGUGAAUGUGAGUUUCAGAAGAGACAUAAAGCCUUAACUUAGAUUUUCUGUUGUGUUGGAAUUGUCGCUGCCUUAACGCUCAAGCCCUGUUUAAGCCCUCCGGUCCCGGGAGAGCUGCAUGUGUGCUCGUGGUUCUUUGUAAAUAGAAGUGCAGUGAUCUAUGGCUUUAAGUUUUUGUGUCUGUGGCAAUGUGUCUUUAUAUAUAGUUACAGGAAAAAGAAUGGAGCAUGUAAUUGUCCUUCAUGUGCAAGAACUGUUCCCACCAAACCUUAGUUACCUGAACUCCCCUAAGGUUGUAAACAUAAAUUCAGUGAUUAAAGAGAAUUCUACACCAAAAAAAAAAAAAAAAAAA
rnacentral:lncRNA from 1 species